AUUCCUGUGUGUGUGUGUGUGUGUGUGUGUGUGUGUGUGUGUGUGUGUGUGUCUGUGUGUGUGUGUGUGUGUGUGUGUGUGUGUGUGUGUGUGUGUGUGUGUGUGUGUGUGUGUGUGUGUUAGCAAGAGUUAUAAUCAAAAUAUCAAAUAACGGUGAUAAUAUUAUUUUCGGAGGAGAAAGUGGAGAGAAUGAUAGAUAAAUAGAAGAACAGCAAGAAGAAGAAGAAGAAGAAGAAGAAGAAGAAGAAGAAGA